CGAGUCGGCCGGACGGUCGCGUCGGGGCCCCUGGAGGGCACCCGCCGAGGAAAGUCCGGGCUCCACAGGGAACGGUGGUGGCCAACAGCCACCCGGGGUGACCCGCGGGACAGUGCCACAGAGAACAGACCGCCCGUGCACGCACGGGUGAGGGUGAAACGGUGGUGUAAGAGACCACCAGCGCGCCAGGUGACUGGCGUGGCUCGGCAAACCCCACCGGGAGCAAGGUCAGACAGCGCGUGUCCGAGGGCGUCCCGCCCGAGCGCGCGGGUAGACCGCUGGAGGUGGCUGGCAACAGCCACCCGAGAUGGAUGGCCGUCACCCGGCCCGGAGUGAUCCGGGCCGGGCACAGGACCCGGCUUACAGGCCGGCUCGUCUC
rfam:Kytococcus sedentarius DSM 20547, complete genome.